rnacentral:rRNA from 1 species
AACGAACGCUGGCGGCAGGCUUAACACAUGCAAGUCGAACGCCACCUCCGGGUGGAGUGGCAGACGGGUGAGUAACGCGUGGGAACGUACCUCUCGGUUUGGAGUAUUCUCUGGAAACUGCGAGCAAUACCAAAGAAGCCCUAUGGAGGCAAGAUUUAUUGCCGAAUGAUCGGCCGGCCUGAGAUUAGGUAGUUGGUAGGGUAAUGGCCUAUCAAGCGUACAAUCUAUAGAUGGUCUUAGAGGAUGAGCAGCGACAUUGGGACUGUGAAACGGACCAAACUCUUAGGGGGUGGAGCAGUGGGGAAUAUUGGACAACGGGCGGAAGCAUGAUCCAGUAAGGACGAGUGAAUGAUGAAGGCCUUAGGGUUGUAAAAUUCUUUCAACGGUUACGAUAAUGACGGUAACCGUAUAAGAAGCCCCGGCUAACUUCGUGCCAGCCGCCGCCGUAA